UGGCAGUAGCUUUUAGGGAAAAAAGGUUGAACUAAGGUUUGUGUUUUUUGUUUCACAGAUUGCCUAACUGGAAGCACAAAACUGCUGUGUAAGGAGGGCAGCCAUAUAAUAUUCACAUUCCAAACAAGGCAUCUGAAGAAGACAGACACAGUCACACCAGAGUCUCCUCUGGUGCCACAGAACUCCCUGGUGCUGACAGGACUUGAACAAAGAUGGUGCUCAUGACAAGGCAUACACCCUGCCAGAGCACCGCUCAACUCUGGCAUAUGGUGGUGCAGGGAAUUGAACCUGGAACUUUGGAGCCUCAGGUAUGAGAGUCUCUUUGCGUACCCAUUAUGCUAUCUACCCCUGCCCCGGAUGUAUGCUUUAUAUCAAAACACUAGCACACCUUCUAAGGCUACACAUGUACUAGGGACCAGUCUCAGGACAGAGCCACAUAAAUGCCUGCUGCCGUGCAAGUCAACCAUCAGCUGAAUGGAUGGUGUCCUGGACAGGGACUAUUUAGCAUCUCUUCCAAGAGUCUGUCUCUCCCUCCCUUUUAGGAUAGGAUCCCUUACCUCACCCUCAGGUGUGCAGAGGUCAUCACCAUCCUUGGUCCCGGUGCAUCAUACUGUUGAUCUGGGGUCCUCUUACCAUGACCUGUCCUGGAAUGGAGAUGAACUCAGAGUUUUGUUGCUGUUGUUUUUUUUUAAUUUUUUUAAAUUGUCUUUAUUUGAGACAGCCAGCCAGAAAUUGAGAGGGAGAGAGACAGAGAGACACCUGCAGCCCUGC